CACGUAGGGGGCGAGCGUUGUCCGGAAUUACUGGGCGUAAAGGGCGCGCAGGCUGUUAUGCGAGUCUGCUGUGAAAUGUACCGGCUCAACCGGUGCCUUGCGGCGGAUACUGCAUAGCUGGAGUACUGGAGAGGGAAGUGGAAUUCCCGGUGUAGGGGUGAAAUGCGUAGAUAUCGGGAGGAACACCGGUGGCGAAGGCGGCUUUCUGGCCAGUUACUGACGCUCAUGCGCGAAAGCUGGGGUAGCGAACCGGAUUAGAUACCCCCGUAGU
rnacentral:rRNA from 1 species